UACGUAGGUGGCAAGCGUUGUCCGGAUUUACUGGGCGUAAAGAGCGCGCAGGCGGUCGUUCAAGUCGCGUGUGAAAGCCCCCGGCUCAACUGGGGAGGGUCACGCGAUACUGAUCGACUCGAAGGCAGGAGAGGGAAGUGGGAAUUCCCGGUGUAGUAGUGAAAUGCGUAGAUAUCGGGAGGAACACCAGUGGCGAAGGCGGCGCACUGGACCAUAACUGACGCUGAUGCGCGAAAGCUAGGGGAGCAAACAGG
rnacentral:rRNA from 1 species